GGGUGUGUAGCUCAGGCGGUAGAGCACUUGACUUUUAAUCAAGUUGUCCGGGGUUCGAAUCCCCGCACGCUCA
rnacentral:tRNA from 1 species